GAUGAACGCUGGCGGCGUGCUUAACACAUGCAAGUCGAACGGAAAGGCCCAAGCUUGCUUGGGUACUCGAGUGGCGAACGGGUGAGUAACACGUGGGUGAUCUGCCCUGCACUUCGGGAUAAGCCUGGGAAACUGGGUCUAAUACCGGAUAGGACCACAUUUUGGAUGGUGUGGUGGAAAGUUUUUCGGUGUGGGAUGAGCUCGCGGCCUAUCAGCUUGUUGGUGGGGUAAUGGCCUACCAAGGCGUCGACGGGUAGCCGGCCUGAGAGGGUGUACGGCCACAUUGGGACUGAGAUACGGCCCAGACUCCUACGGGAGGCAGCAGUGGGGAAUAUUGCACAAUGGGCGCAAGCCUGAUGCAGCGACGCCGCGUGGGGGAUGACGGCCUUCGGGUUGUAAACUCCUUUCGCUAGGGACGAAGCGCAAGUGACGGUAACUGGAGAAGAAGCACCGGCUAACUACGUG
rnacentral:rRNA from 1 species